CGGAAAGAUUCUGUGUUGAUUUUCUUGCAUUUGUAAUUGGCUUAUAACUUUCUGUAUAAAGGACAGCCACUGUCUUAGAAAUUGUCCCUUCUUCUAUUUUACUUAUAGGUUCGCUUAUAUUGUUUGAUAUCCUAACAAAUCAGAAAGAUUCUAUUGGGGAUAUUGACAGUGAAAAGGGUUCAUUGAGUACUGCUGAGGAUCUAGGAGAUGUAUCAACAUUAGAAGAAGAACUGAAGAAGCUUCAGCUCUCUGAGUUUGUCACUGUCUUUGAGAAGGAGAAAGUUGACAGAGAAGCUCUGGCUUUAUGUACAGACAGAGAUCUUCAGGAAAUGGGGAUUCCCUUAGGACCCAGAAAGAAGAUACUGAACCACUUCAGUGCCACAAAGAGUUCAGUGGGUAUUAAUAGACCAACCAUGUCAGCUUCUGAGGUAAAUAUCCCCAAGGAAAAAGGUGACUAUUUGGAUGUUGGAAUUGGGCAGGUGUCUGUAAAAUACCCCCGGCUUAACUACAAACCAGAAAUAUUCUUUGCCUUUGGAUCUCCCAUUGGAAUGUUUCUUACUGUCCGAGGAUUAAGAAGAAUUGAUCCAAAUUAUAAAUUUCCCACAUGCAAAGGUUUCUUCAAUAUUUACCAUCCU
rnacentral:lncRNA from 1 species